rnacentral:RNase_P_RNA from 1 species
AAAGCAGACUGGGCAGUCGCGGGGGCUUUAAUGCCUUCGAGGAAAGUCCGAGCUCCAUAGGGCAGGGUGCUGGGUAACCCCCAGUGAGGGUAACCUCAAGGAAAGUGCCACAGAAAAAAACCGCCAAGUUAGAAGUCGGAUGUCAGAGGUCGGAUUUGGCGGAAUCGUCGAAAGAAACGAUUCCAAAUAAAUCUGGCAAACUGACUUCUGACAUCCGACCUCCAGCUUGGUAAGGGUGCAACGGUGCGGUAAGAGCGCACCAGCGGUCAGGUGACUGGCCGGCUAGGUAAACCCCACCUGGAGCAAGACCAAAUAGGGGAGAGUUGACGCGGCCCGCAGAUCUCCCGGGUUAGGUCGCUAGAGACGGCAGGUAACUGUCGUACCAGAGAGAUGGCUGCCACCCCGUAAGGGGAACAGAACUCGGCUUACAGGUUUGCUUUGUAU